GGAAUCUUGGACAAUGGGGGCAACCCUGAUCCGGCGACGCCGCGUGGGUGAUGAAGGCCUUCGGGUUGUAAAGCCCUUUCACCGGGGACGAUGAUGACGGUACCCGGAGAAGAAGCACCGGCUAACUCCGUGCCAGCAGCCGCGGUAAGACGGAGGGUGCUAGCGUUGUUCGGAAUCACUGGGCGUAAAGGGCGCGUAGGCGGCUUCAGGUGUCGGCUGUGAAAGCCCGGGGCUCAACCCCGGAGGUGCAGCCGAAACUCUGGGGCUCGAGGCCGGAAGAGGAGGGUGGAAUACCCAGUGUAGAGGUGAAAUUCGUAGAUAUUGGGUGGAACACCGGUGGCGAAGGCGGCUCUCUGGACCGGUACUGACGCUGAGGCGCGAAAGCUAGGGGAGCAAA
rnacentral:rRNA from 1 species